rnacentral:rRNA from 1 species
UUAAGUCCCGCAACGAGCGCAACCCCUAUCUUAAUUGCCAUCAUUCAGUUGGGCACUUUAGAGAGACUGCCGGUGUUAAGCCGGAGGAAGGUGGGGAUGACGUCAAGUCCUCAUGGCCUUUAUGUCUAGGGCUACACACGUGCUACAAUGGGUGGUACAAAGAGCAGCUAACUCGCGAGAGUAUGCAAAUCGCAGAAAGCCGGCCUUAGUUCGGAUUGGAGUCUGAAACUCGACUCCAUGAAGGUGGAAUCGCUAGUAAUCGCGCAUCAGCAUGGCGCGGUGAAUACGUUCCCGGGCCUU